UACAGAGGUCUCAACCGUUGUUCGGAUUCAUUGGGCGUAAAGGGUGCGUAGGCGGUCGGGUAAGUCGGAUGUGAAAUCCCAGGGCUCAACCCUGGAACUGCAUUCGAUACUGCCUGGCUAGGGUACUGGAGAGGAGACUGGAAUUUACGGUGUAGCAGUGAAAUGCGUAGAUAUCGUAAGGAAGACCAGUGGCGAAGGCGAGUCUCUGGACGACUCCUGACACUGAGGCACGAAAGCUGGGGGAGCAAACAGG
rnacentral:rRNA from 1 species